UGUUAAUCCCCUCACUCCACUCUGUUCCUGUGCUAAGACAGGCUCGGUGUUGAAAGUGAAAGUUUGGGAGGAGCCAUAUAGAGGACCAGAGCUCUGGAGGAGGACAAGUCAUUGCUGAGUACUCUCUCAAAGUAGCAGCAACACUCACAAACCGAAAGAGGUCAUGGCUGGAACAUGUCUUAUUCACUGUGUCCUGAUUCAAGUCCUGCUUAUCACAGUCUAUGCUCAAUUACCAACAAACUGUACAAAUCAAACUACCACUGAGGGAAAACCAGUACAUCUAACCUGCAAUGUUACAUGUAAAAAAUGUGAAACACUCCAUUAUUUUUGGAAGUAUGGAGAAGAUAAAAUCAACUGCAGUAAAAUGCAUAACUUUCCAAGUGGCAACAGUCAUAUAUUUAAUUGCACAAUUGAAAGUGCAUCAGCGAAUCACAGUGGAACAUUUACAUUUUGGGUACAAAUGAAAGAAGGAAUUGGUGAAACAAAAUUCAACGUGACCAUAGAGCCGCGUGCUGCUAAUCUCACCACACCAGGUCCUGUUUCUACAACCAAUUCUCACGCUCAUAAAGAGAAACAGAAACAAAAAAAAAAUCCUGAAGUUGCCUUGGCUGUAUUGCUCAUGAUUUGUCUUGCCUUGUGCAUCAUUGUUGCAGUUUUGUUUAUAAGAAAUAACAACUGUAAUAUGUCAGCAAUAUUCACUCGCAAAAUGAUCACAGAAACUGAAGUAAUAUAAUCCCAAUACAUACAGUAGUUGUGACACUGUCCCAAGCUCAGAAAGAUAAGCUUUCUUUUUUAGGUCAGUCUCUGUCGUGGCAGAGGGACAGGAAACUAAGGAAAAAGGGGGCAAUGAACUGACUCCUUUUCUGAUUUUGAGAUUUUGUGGGAUCUGUUUUUAAACAUCUGUGGUGAUUUUUACCCGUAGCUUUUUUUACAAUCAUUUACCUUCUCAGAACGAAAAGGGUAACAUACCGUACAAACAUUUCUCACUGCUGUAAUAUACUCGAGAACAUGUUGUUUACACCGUUACUUAUAUAAUCACAGAUAUAUAGGAUUAUAAUUAAUGGUAUAAUCUUUGAGGACAAAAAUACUUGUACAGUGCUUUUGGAGAGAACAUUGUGAAUGAAUUGUAACCUGUGAUUUAUUUAUUUAUUUUUUAAUGAUGAUGAUGAUGAUGAUGAUAAUAAUAAUAAUAAUAAUAAUAAUAAUAAUACAUGGUGGAGCAGAACACUGAAUAGAUUUUGGUGUUGCAGUUUUGUGUACUUUUGUAUAUUGUGUAUUCUAUUGUAUUGGGAGUUCUGUUGUAUUGUGUGCUUUUUUUACUGUAAAUGUGAAUAUAUUCACAUUUACAUGAAUGAGUAUGGUGAGCAUACGCAUUCAUGUCCCUCAGCACAAAGCGAGAUCUGUGGGAGGUGGAGGAUGUUUAUCUUGGGGUGGUUUACUAGACAUUUAUAAAGAUCACAACAAAGAUGUUUACUUUCCUUCAUGUUUUUGGAAUCUCACAGAGGUACGGGAACAUAAAAUGCAGAUUAUAAACCCAGCUGUAACAGAUGUUCCUUUAUGGUGUUCAUCAAAAAAAUAUGUUUUCCUCUCUCCUAGACCAGUUACAAUGUGACUUUGUGACAAAGUGACAGCCUGCACUAGUUUGAACGUGUGAUGCUACUUUGGCAGGUCGUAUAUAAUGCGUAGUCCUGGGAUAAAAAUGUUUUUGACCUUCUCAAACCCUGGUAGUCAGUAAUGAGAAUGGGGACAGUAGAGAACGGCUUAGGAGAGAGUGCUGGCCCAAAUUUAGCCUAUUACCCAAAGACACUUAAAAUUCAACAUAGAAGCAAAUACUCACAUCUGUAAACCCAGUUGGAGAUAGAAAAAAAGACACCAGCCGUGAGUGAGAAGAACAAGGGUCCAGAUUUUAUUUUCACCUCACGAGAUCCACACCAAUGAGAAUUCUCAGAAGUGAUCUGACACCUGGAGCUCAAGCUCCAGUAUUUAUACUGUAUUUACACAGUAAAUAACCAAUAUAUUUUAGAAAGACUAUGAUAUCAAUACCAAUAGGGUUAAAAAGAGCUCAUCUACAUUACCAUGAUGUUUAAAAAAAGACAUCAAAUUUACCAUGAUGUUUUGAAAGAGGACUUUCUGACUACCAUUAGGAUUGAACGUGGGAGAGAGAGAAAACGAUUUAGAGAGACCUUGUUCUCACUAUUAUUUCGCAGGGGGCGGCAACUUGACUCAACUACCCUUAUAAAUGGCUCCUCAUGGUUCUGUCUUAAAAUUAAGGCCCUCGUCUACACCACGCCUGACCCUUCCUCGCGAGACAAGAAUCUUCACCAUCUGAAUUAUGAGUGCCCGUCGUCAUUUUUCCUUCUCUCCUUUACUGGAGGGGCUGGAUUUGGAUCUGAACACUCUCUAUCAGCUCGUGCAUCUCACUGCUGACAUCAUGGUGCUACUUGACAUUCUUCGCAGCACCCCCUCUGGAAAUGGAAAUGCGGGGUCCCCCCCCCCCCAGAUACAGAAUCCACCCAGCGAAUGUGUGUAUUGACGCCUCUACACAAACAGACCCUCUGCCCGACCCUCCCUCCAGCUUUCAGUCUGAGGAUGAUAUCGCCUUCUCUGAUCUGGGCUCUGACCAUUCUUCCCUCUUCUCACCAGUUAGUCCGCCGUACUCUCAGUAUUCUCCUUAUUUUACCCUUGCUGGCUAUCCCAUGUCCCCAGGACGCACCCCAUUUUCUUCCCCCUACCGCUCUCCUCAGGAUUACACACCCACCAGUCCUGUGAAUUUUCAAUAAAAUUACAUAUUACUCAUGCUAGGUCUCCCUCGUGUUUAUUUCAUGUCAUUUUAUCCACAACAAGAGUGAUGCUGAAUUAUUGUUUCUUUUUCUCUUUAUGCACUUAUCAGUGCUUUCCUUGGCGAAAUCAUUCACUAUUCAUAAUCGUUAACAAAAUUCAGACAAUUUUCUGUGCAGUGUACUGGAACAUAACCAAACAAUAAAUGCUUAAAUUAUUAACCACUUUCAUGACAACACAGGAUUUUGUAACAACACACAAUUCUUGCCAUCAAAAUCAAGCAACUGAAGUUAUUUACAUGAACGUUAUUGCAAUGUUUGAGCAGCUACACGCUAGAAAUAAUUGCUAGAAAGCAAUGUGGAUAAAGCCUGAGGAAUUGUACUUCUAAUAGUAUAUGCUUUCAGUGACAGAAGUAAAACUUUCCAUACAGACUUUCACUUUAACUCAGGAGUCAGGGUGCUAGACUUCUUG
ensembl:lncRNA